AAAGGCCAAUCAAACCGGGAGAUAGCUGGUUCUCCCCGAAAGCUAUUUAGGUAGCGCCUCGUGAAUUCAUCUCCGGGGGUAGAGCACUGUUUCGGCAAGGGGGUCAUCCCGACUUACCAACCCGAUGCAAACUGCGAAUACCGGAGAAUGUUAUCACGGGAGACACACGGCGGGUGCUAACGUCCGUCGUGAAGAGGGAAACAACCCAGACCGCCAGCUAAGGUCCCAAAGUCAUGGUUAAGUGGGAAACGAUGUGGGAAGGCCCAGACAGCCAGGAUGUUGGCUUAGAAGCAGCCAUCAUUUAAAGAAAGCGUAAUAGCUCACUGGUCGAGUCGGCCUGCGCGGAAGAUGUAACGGGGCUAAACCAUGCACCGAAGCUGCGGCAGCGACACUAUGUGUUGUUGGGUAGGGGAGCGUUCUGUAAGCCUGUGAAGGUGGCCUGUGAGGGUUGCUGGAGGUAUCAGAAGUGCGAAUGCUGACAUAAGUAACGAUAAAGCGGGUGAAAAGCCCGCUCGCCGGAAGACCAAGGGUUCCUGUCCAACGUUAAUCGGGGCAGGGUGAGUCGACCCCUAAGGCGAGGCCGAAAGGCGUAGUCGAUGGGAAACAGGUUAAUAUUCCUGUACUUGGUGUUACUGCGAAGGGGGGACGGAGAAGGCUAUGUUGGCCGGGCGACGGUUGUCCCGGUUUAAGCGUGUAGGCUGGUUUUCCAGGCAAAUCCGGAAAACCAAGGCUGAGGCGUGAUGACGAAGCACUACGGUGCUGAAGCGACAAAUGCCCUGCUUCCAGGAAAAGCCUCUAAGCAUCAGGUAACAUCAAAUCGUACCCCAAACCGACACAGGUGGUCAGGUAGAGAAUACCAAGGCGCUUGAGAGAACUCGGGUGAAGGAACUAGGCAAAAUGGUGCCGUAACUUCGGGAGAAGGCACGCUGAUAUGUAGGUGAAGCGACUUGCUCGUGGAGCUGAAAUCAGUCGAAGAUACCAGCUGGCUGCAACUGUUUAUUAAAAACACAGCACUGUGCAAACACGAAAGUGGACGUAUACGGUGUGACGCCUGCCCGGUGCCGGAAGGUUAAUUGAUGGGGUUAGCGGUAACGCGAAGCUCUUGAUCGAAGCCCCGGUAAACGGCGGCCGUAACUAUAACGGUCCUAAGGUAGCGAAAUUCCUUGUCGGGUAAGUUCCGACCUGCACGAAUGGCGUAAUGAUGGCCAGGCUGUCUCCACCCGGGACUCAGUGAAAUUGAACUCGCUGUGAAGAUGCAGUGUACCCGCGGCAAGACGGAAAGACCCCGUGAACCUUUACUAUAGCUUGACACUGAACAUUGAGCCUUGAUGUGUAGGAUAGGUGGGAGGCUUUGAAGUGUGGACGCCAGUCUGCAUGGAGCCGACCUUGAAAUACCACCCUUUAAUGUUUGAUGUUCUAACGUUGGCCCGUAAUCCGGGUUGCGGACAGUGUCUGGUGGGUAGUUUGACUGGGGCGGUCUCCUCCUAAAGAGUAACGGAGGAGCACGAAGGUUGGCUAAUCCUGGUCGGACAUCAGGAGGUUAGUGCAAUGGCAUAAGCCAGCUUGACUGCGAGCGUGACGGCGCGAGCAGGUGCGAAAGCAGGUCAUAGUGAUCCGGUGGUUCUGAAUGGAAGGGCCAUCGCUCAACGGAUAAAAGGUACUCCGGGGAUAACAGGCUGAUACCGCCCAAGAGUUCAUAUCGACGGCGGUGUUUGGCACCUCGAUGUCGGCUCAUCACAUCCUGGGGCUGAAGUAGGUCCCAAGGGUAUGGCUGUUCGCCAUUUAAAGUGGUACGCGAGCUGGGUUUAGAACGUCGUGAGACAGUUCGGUCCCUAUCUGCCGUGGGCGCUGGAGAACUGAGGGGGGCUGCUCCUAGUACGAGAGGACCGGAGUGGACGCAUCACUGGUGUUCGGGUUGUCAUGCCAAUGGCACUGCCCGGUAGCUAAAUGCGGAAGAGAUAAGUGCUGAAAGCAUCUAAGCACGAAACUUGCCCCGAGAUGAGUUCUCCCUGAGACUUAGAGUCUCCUGAAGGAACGUUGAAGACGACGACGUUGAUAGGCCGGGUGUGUAAGCGCAGCGAUGCGUUGAGCUAACCGGUACUAAUGAACCGUGAGGCUUAACCUU
rnacentral:rRNA from 1 species